GAUGAACGCUGGCGGCGUGCCUAAUACAUGCAAGUCGAGCGAAUGGAUUAAGAGCUUGCUCUUAUGAAGUUAGCGGCGGACGGGUGAGUAACACGUGGGUAACCUGCCCAUAAGACUGGGAUAACUCCGGGAAACCGGGGCUAAUACCGGAUAACAUUUUGAACCGCAUGGUUCGAAAUUGAAAGGCGGCUUCGGCUGCCACUUAUGGAUGGACCCGCGUCGCAUUAGCUAGUUGGUGAGGUAACGGCUCACCAAGGCAACGAUGCGUAGCCGACCUGAGAGGGUGAUCGGCCACACUGGGACUGAGACACGGCCCAGACUCCUACGGGAGGCAGCAGUAGGGAAUCUUCCGCAAUGGACGAAGGUCUGACGGAGCAACGCCGCGUGAGUGAUGAAGGCUUUCGGGUCGUAAAACUCUGUUGCUAGGGAAGAACAAGUGCUAGUUGAAUAAGCUGACACCUUGACGGUACCUAACCAGAAAGCCACGGCUAACUACGUGCCAGCCGCCGCUGUAA
rnacentral:rRNA from 1 species